CUAGUAUUGAUGAUGAAUAUUGAUUCGUUUUUUUCUGGUAGGUAUAUGUGAAAUUACAGUACACUUGAUUCUUGAAUGAGUGCCUUCAUAUAUCAUGAUAACUCGCUUUCCGGCACCGGUCAAAUAAAUCAAAACAGACGAAACAGAGCUAGUACUGCUAGCUGUAUCAUAUUUCACGAAAACGUACGCGUCUGUAUAUUACUUAGGGUGGUGUAUUCAAUUAAGAGUCUGUUGGAUUGUUUUGGAGUUUAAAAGUCUAUGAGUAUUGAAUCAAGAUUUCAAAAAGUCAUUUAAAAUCUUAUGGUAUUCAAUUGCUAUUUUAAAAACUCUUUCAAACUCUGACGGUAUUCAAUAACUCAACGACUUCCAAGGAUUCUAUCAGAUGACAGAUUUUGAUGGAUUCUGAGCUGUUUGGUAUAAAUAGGAGACCCUAACAAGAAUCUGCUCUCUAACCAUCAGAUUUUGAAGUAUUCUCUUCUCUCUCGUUCUGGCGACGAACUGACCUUGACUGACGACCUCACCACAUGCAAACAUCUGGAUGCUGGCUGGACUGAGAUUGUUGGCGAUAGGCUAAGCAGCCAUGAAAGAGAAUAAGCAAGAAAAGAGAGAGCUAUAGACCUGGCUGCUUUUUAGAGUGGAUACUACUCAUACUAGCUAGCUACUUUGGUGAGGAGUAGAGUGGAGAGAGGUUGGGCUUUGUAGGGUAGGGAAGGAGGUGAGGGAGGGACACAUAAAGCUUAUGUGUAAGGCAUUUCUAAUUAGCCAUUUUGAUGUUUGCAUGGGUGACGGUUUGAAGGGUUUAUACCUCAUUUAUGGUUGAGGCAAGUGACUUUGGUGAGGUAGAAGAUACAAAGUGCAUGAAAGUCUGU